GAAUUGCGAUAUGUAAUGUGAAUUGCAGAAUUCAGUGAAUCAUCGAAUCUUUGAACGCAUAUUGCACCCUCAGGUCUUUUCCAGAGGGUAUGCCUGUUUGAGUGUCAUUAAAUACAUCAAUGUAGACUUGUCUUUUGACUUGCUCUACACUUGGAAGUUGAAGGCUUGCUGGUUGUCAUGAUCAGCUCCUUUUAAAUUCAUUAGCGGGACUUUUGAAGACUUGGCUUCAGUUUGAUACAAUGUCUAUGCUGUCGCUAAGGAACGGUUUAGUCUGGCUUAUAAUUGUCCUUUGGGACUGUCUCUAGUGGGCAUAACAAACUUUGACUCUUGACCUCAAAUCAGGUAGGACUACCCGCUGAACUUAA
rnacentral:misc_RNA from 1 species